rnacentral:lncRNA from 1 species
AUCCCAAGUAUCAUGAGGAGUGGGUUAGGAACAAUGCUCGUGCUAAUGAAAGGAACAGGCGCAAUGAUAGGCCUCGUAAUAACGACAGGUCAAGAAAUUUUGAAAGGAGAAGGGAAAAUGUGGUGAACAGAGACAUGCAGAGUAGGCCUCCAGUGCAGAAUUCUGGUCCACCUCCCAACAAUUCUUCUGGAUACCCUCCCAACAAUUCUUCUGGAUACCCUCCCAACAAUGCUGGCGGAUACCCUCCUAACAAUCAAGCUGGAUACUCCCCUCCAAAUCAAUCUGGAUACUCCCCUCCAAAUCAAGCUGGAUACGCCCCUCCAAAUCAAGGCGGAUACGCCCCUCCAAAUCAAGGUGGAUAUGCUCCUCCAAAUGCAGGUGGUGGAUACCCUCCCCCCAACAUGAGCGGACCCCCUCCUCCUAACAUGAGCAGACCUCCUCCUCCCAACAGUGGAUACGGUGCUCCUCAAAAUAACUACCUGGGGCAACAAAACCAGAACAUUGCAGGGAUGCCUCCAAAUGCUGGAUGGUCAAAUAAUCAGUAGACUCUCACCAAAUAAAUGCUAUGAUGUCUUGGACUUGAU